ACUAUUUUUAUGUUUAAGUCAUCCUGUGCCCAUUAUAGGUGCAGAUGUGUGUAAUGUAAUUGUGUAGUGUUAAAUGUUUUGUGUGCUGUCCUGUGCUGCUGAUGCUUGCCGCGAACUAGGUGGAUUUGGCUAUGGAGCCUAUACAGCGCCAUCUGUUGGUAGCAGCUCUUAUGUGCACUACCUGAAUAGCAAGACUCUGCAAUUUGCAUAUUUAGGCAGAUUUGCAUAUUAUGGUUUCUGCAGACAGAAAAGAUGUUUUGUGUUAUUUUCGUCUCCACCCCUUUAUUAUUUAUUAUGUUAUUGUGCCAUUAUGAGUCCCUGUAUAUUUCCCCAUAUGAUUUGGAUAUUUGUAUUAAACUGAGUUUGUCACAAUAAGUUUGAAGUAAUGAACAUAUGGACAAGUCCUGUGUUAAAAUAAAGCAGUGUAUGUUAGUUUUGGGACUGUGUGUCUUGGUUGAUUUGUUCAGAGAUCCCAGUAACAGAGUCUUUUGACCUGUUGGCUAUAUCCCGGGACAAGUAAAAAGAGCUUGACCUGAGACCCACAAGUGCCUUUGUAAAGGCAGUAGCUGAACACAUUGAAG